UAGAUUGAGGCCAGUGUGUUAGGGCGUUUAGCUGUUAACUAAAAUUUCGUGGGAUUGAACCCCAUCAAUCUAG